GGAAAAUUCUAGCGUGAAGUCACCAAAAUGGCUUCAUUGAUGAAGUCAGAUCUAGUGUUACAAAUACAACUUUACUCCCAUUUUAUAGAUGUGUGACAUGUGCCAAACUUAAAUCCAAUGGUUGGUAAUUAAAAGGUUUUUUUUUUUACAGUAAUUAAAAAGGUUAUUGCUUUUCUCUGUACUUCAUCCUCAAAUACAACAAAUGAACUUCCUCCUCACCUCUGUCUCCCCCUCUUUCUCUCACCGCCGUCGUUUCUCUCCGCCACGAUCACCGGAAAAAUAUAUUUAAAAAAACAAAAAAACAGUUUCUCUCGUUGCAUAGCUACUCUCACCUCUCUCCAUUCCGCCGCCGCCGACCCUCUCCUUCCCGACGAAGACAAAUUCCAACGAAGUGAGAACAACUAACAAAACAAAAUUAAUUUAUUUAAAUUUCACUAUAAUAUCCACUCCCAUUGACCUAGUUACUGAAAUCUCAAAAACCCAAUUCUAAAAACUUAAACUUUUUUCUCUAUAACAUCCACUCUCAUUGACCCAAUAAUUGAAAUCUCAAAAAUUGAAUAUGAAACACUGUUCAUUACAUAAGAUUAAUCAAAUUUAGUGACCCCAAUUUUUUUAAAACAGUUUAUAAACACUCAAAUCAAGGUGUUAUUCACGACGGUGACAGGACGGUGAGGAUCGCUCGUGACGAUGGCGGCGAGGGAAAACGUGUGUGGAGAAGCGGUUACGAAAGGUAGACGGGAAGGGGAGGAGGCACGAACAGUGGCACCGGCGGCGACGAUGAGAGAAAGAGGGAGGAGCAGCGGUGGUGAGAUAAUGAGAGGAAGGAGACCAUGAAAUUGUUGUUGUAUAUUUUUUCUUUAAUAUUAUGUUCUUUUUUUUAUUGAAUAAAUAAUAAUUUUGAUGUUUUAAUCUCUUCUUGUAUUAUGCCACAUGUCAUAAAUCAAACGGUUAACACUCACUUGAUCUAUGAGGGUACAUAGAGAUACAUAGUAAAUAUGUGUACCGUAUAAUUUUAUGUGGCACCGACUAAGUCAACAUUGCUUUCUUAUUGGGCCAGAUCAGCAACUUCAUCAAAGAAGUCAAUUAUGUGACUUCACCAUAGAAGCUCCC
rnacentral:lncRNA from 1 species